rnacentral:miRNA from 1 species
AUCCCCUGGGGAUCCCGUUAAAUGCAGACUCUGAUUCAGUAGGUCUGAAGUGGAGUCUGAAAUUCUGCAUUUCUAACAAGUUCCCAGGUAAUGCCA